UAUUAGCAUACAGUCAUGGUCAAAAUUAUUUUCACAAAGUGCAUUUUUGUGCAUGGGUCACAAACAGUUGCUUGUGCAGCAAGUGGGGGGAGGUGAAAUGCAAAAAAACUUUUGCUUUUGCAAAUUCAAACCUAUGCAGAUUCAGAUGAAAGAAGAAUUGAAAAAAUAACUGUUCCUAUUCUCAAGGAAGAGGCAAAUGAAGAGAUCCUUAUCAGUUGUCAGAAGUAUUUGCACACGGUUUCGUCGCAUCACAAUUAUUUUCACAACGCAAUUUCUUCUUCAGUGAUUGGUUUAGAGUGACAAGUGCCGUUAUUAAAUAAAAUGCCCAAAACAAAAGAGUUAACAGUUGAGGCCCGGGCUGGUAUUGUUGCUAGGUUUAAAGCCGGUACACCUGCGGCCAAAAUAGCUGAAAUAUAUCAAAUUUCGCGUAGAACUGUCUACUACUUAAUAAAAAAGUUUGAUACAGUUGGCACAUUAAAAAAUAAAAAAAGAUCAGGCCGAAAACCUGUGCUGGAUCAAAGGCAAUGCAGGCAAAUACUUGGAGUUGUGGCGAAGAAUCCUAGUGCCAGUCCGGUAAAAAUUGCCUUAGAAUCAAAAAAUACAAUUGGCAAACAAGUUAGUAGUUCUACAAUUCGUCGCAGGCUAAAAUAAGCUGAUUUUAAGACAUACGUUGUUCGCAAAACGAUUGAGAUCACACCAACCAACAAAACAAAACGUCUUCGAUUUGCGUUGGAAUAUGUUAAGAAGCCUCUUGACUUUUGGUUUAAUAUUUUAUGGACUGAUGAGUCUGCAUUUCAGUACCAGGGGUCAUACAGCAAGCAUUUUAUGCAUUUGAAAAAUAAUCAAAAGCAUUUGGCAGCCCAGCCAACCAAUAGAUUUGGUGGGGGCACAGUCAUGUUUUGGGGAUGUCUUUCCUAUUAUGGAUUCGGAGACUUGGUACCGAUAGAAGGAACUUUAAAUCAGAACGGAUACCUUCUUAUCUUAAACAACCAUGCUUUUACGUCUGGAAAUAGACUUUUUCCAACUACUGAAUGGAUUCUUCAGCAGGACAAUGCUCCAUGCCAUAAGGGUAGGAUACCAACAAAAUUUUUAAACGACCUUAAUCUGGCGGUUCUUCCGUGGCCCCCCCAAAGCCCAGACCUUAAUAUCAUUGAAAACGUUUGGGCUUUUAUUAAAAACCAACGAACUAUUGAUAAAAAUAGAAAACGAGAGGGAGCCAUCAUUGAAAUAGCGGAGAUUUGGUCCAAAUUGACAUUAGAAUUUGCACAAACUUUGGUAAGGUCAAUACCAAAAAGACUUCAAGCAGUUAUUGAUGCCAAAGGUGGUGUUACAAAAUAUUAGUAUUGUAUUUAUAUAAAAUAAAGAAAUUCUUAUGUUGAAAUUAGAUGUUAAGCUGAAAUUUACUAAAUUAAGUUGAGUGAAAAUACUUUUGAAGCGCAAUAAACAUGUGAAAAUACUAUUGACAA